CUCAGAAUGGCAGCCACCCAACAGAGGGGCAGACAGGCCCAGGCUGAGAAAAGGGCCUGGGGCUGCUUGGGGAUGUCAGAAAGAAGGGAUUCGAGUGAAUCAGGCAUUCCAAGAAUCCUCGGCCUCAAAGUCCUGAGGCAGCGUGAUGUCAUGGGAAGAGUACGCGGCUGCCCUGGGGAGCUGUCAGCCCCACGUGAACCUGGAGGAACACUUCCAGGGGAAGGCCCUCGCCCUUCCGCUCAGCCUAGUCAAGUCCCAUAGGCUCCUAGGUCCAGCCUGUGGACCCUCACUGCAGCCUGCUGGAAGAACAACCAGAGAGCUCCGAGACUGCCUAUCCUGUGCCUGAGAUUCCCCACCAUCAAUCAAGGCUAUCACUGCUCUCUCAUUCUAGCUGGAGUGAACAUUACAGGACAGGAAAGAAGGGAAGAAAGCUUCAACACCCUGCAUGGACUGUAUUUUAACGCCUAAGCAAGCUGUGGGCCUGGGAUUUUAAAAAUGAGCACCCUAGGGAAGGCACAUUCAAGAGGGAAACUCUGGAACCUGGGUACUUCUCAAAAGGCAGGCAGGUAUUAAGGCUGUGCGUGGGACUGGAAAACUGCAGAGCCAGAGCUGAAAGGGAUCUGUGAGACACUGUGCUCUUCUGCUUCAGCCCAGCCCUAGAGAGGACCUCAGGCCCUCUGGGCCAGUCCUGGGAGGCUCUUGGAAGGGCCCUCAGGUAAAGCAAAGAUGUCCCCAUACCAGGUAGCAGAGGAACCAGGAUAGCUCUGGAGCUGCCCAGGUUUUGUGGGUAGUGGAGUUCUACCGAGCUUGCAGGACAUCCAGGGCACCUGCCUCUCUCCAUUAGCCAUCUCAUCUCAUCUCAGCCGCCCUCCUGGGACAGCCUUCUCCUCUCUCAACUUCAUUACUGUCGAGUUUGCUUGUCCCUAAAGGGCCAUUUGUUCCAUCCUGGGAAGGAGAGGAAAUGUGAAAUGAGUUGGCUGGAGCAGAGCCUCCCUUGGGGCACAUUCUUCAUCCAGGUCUGAUGUGACUGAUGAGUCCGUGGUGAGAUGUUACCACAAGGGAGGAGCCAGCAACAGCUUGACCCACAGCACGAGCCCAGACUCCAGCCUGCCCAUCUCAGGAUAUGGCUGCCCAGUGAUGGUUUCUCGGGCCAAAACCUUUCAAAACAUAAGGGGCUUGUAGCACGAUGCUGAUAAUCUUUACUCUGAGCACCUACUCAGCCAGGCUUCAGGAAUGUGUUCUAGGACACUGGGUUAGGUUUCAAGGAGGUCCUUCCCUGGACCCCAUAUGCUGGAGUCCCAGGCCUUAGGAUGCUGAGUUUAAAACUAACCA